rnacentral:lncRNA from 1 species
AGAUCUUUACUUUAAGAGGUUGCUAUGGAAAAGACGAAAAGUGUGUAAGCCCCUAGUUCAUUUCACUUCGAGUGGUUUUUCGUUAAAACAACAAAAUCACGUGUGAUACAAAGUAUUUAAUUGCAUGCACCAACCAGUUAAACCCAAAAGCUUAAGCUGAUAAGGAGAGGUGGAAAAUUCACUUAUACUUCAACGAGAAAUAAUACAAAGUUAACCUGCCCCCAUUAUACCACAAAAAUAUAUGGCAUCCAUGAUUCAAGACCACAACGUGAAAGUACAACUCGAUGCCUACACACACUGUUGACAUACCCCUCUUUAUUUCCGUAGCGAAUUAUUCCGCGAAUCAACACCCGAUGACAGAUUUGGUUCACAUCCAAGAGCACAGCAAAUUGACAUGCUAUUACCAGAUCGGCUAACGGAAUAAUGUUUUCUCCUAGGCUAGCUUGUUUG